UGCUGAUUUCUCCCAGGCCAGUGGCCAAGUAAAAUAGAGCAACAGGCCAAAAUAGGAAGUUUACCUCCAUUGAACUCUUUUGUGGAGACUCUUUUGCUGAUAGAACUGAAAUCAAUCAUGGGGAAGAUUUCUGGAGGAGCUUAGUCAAGAUAUUCUGUGAAGGCAGGGGUGCCACUACGUCCCGAGUAGCUGGGAUUACAGGUAGGCACCCCCUCACCUGGCUCAUAUCAAAUUUCUAUAGCAAUUGUAGAUUCACAGCAAAUUUGAGCAGAAAGGACGGAGUUCCCAUGUCUGCCUGCCCCUACACAUCUGUAGCCCUCUGCAGGAUCCACACUCACUGGAGGGGGACAUCUGUUACAAUGAAGGAGCCCACACAGACACGUAGUCACACCAAGUCCAAGCGUACGGGAUGGUUACUCUUGGCAUUGGACAUUUUAUGGGAUUGGACAAAUGUAUGAGGCCGUGUCUCCAUUAUUAUGGGAUCAUUCAGAAUAGCAGCACUGCCUUAAAAACCCCAUGUGCCCCAUCACCCCCGCAACCACCCCCUUGGAGCACUGAUCUGCGAUCUUCUUGGUUUUGCCUUCCAGGAUGUCAAGCAGUUGGAACUGGGCAGUGAGAGCCUUUUCAGAGUGGCUUUGCUCACUACGUAUGGCGCAGUUGGGUCCCUCCGUGUCCUCCCUUGGGUGAUCGUGCUUUUCCUUGUGGCCCUGGAUGGUAGCCGUCAUCUGGAUUGCCACCGUUUGUCUACCCACUCCCCUGCUCAUGGAUAUAUGGGUUGCCUUCAAGUUCAGGAAGUCAUGAAUACAGCUGCUACAAAUGCUCACGUGCAGGUUUUUGUGUGAACCUAAGUUUUCGGCUUCACGUACCAAGUGAGACUGCUGCGUUUUUACAGAAUCUGCCACACGGCCUCUGGAAGAGCUGGACAUUUUUAGUCCCAGCUGUGAUGACCAAGCGUGCUCACUGUUCCACAUCCCCGCCGGCACUUGAUGCUAGCAAGUUGUGUGGAUUCAGGACAUUCUUACAGCAUGAAAUGGCAUGUCACUGUGGUUGAUUGACACUUCCUUGGUGACAUGACCGGGAGCAUCCCUCAGAUGAUUGCUCAUCCUCAUCUUCUGUGGUGGUAUCUGCUGAGUUCUGUCCCAUGUUGUAACUGAGUUGUUUUCUUACUGAUGAGCUGCCGGCACUCUUGCGUGUUUAUUUACAUAGAUCUUUGGCUAACAUUUUUUCCCAGUCUUUGGCUUAUUUUUUAAUUCAGUGUUUCUUUCAAAGAACAGAAUGUUUAAUUUUAAUUCAUGCAUCCUGGCUUUGGUGUUGCAUUAAAAAGCCAUGCCAACCCAGGACCAUGUAGCACUUUCUGUUAUCUUGUAGGUGCUUGACGGUUUACACUUGGGUCUGGGAUCAUCGUGAAUGAAUUUUUCUGUGUCUAGAUUCACUUUGCUGUAUGUGGAUGUCCAGUUGCUCCAGGACCAUUGAGGGCUACAUUUUAACAAAAAGGGUGGUCAUUUAUUUAUUUACCAAGGACCCACAUGGUCCUGCACAGAGUAGGUGAUCUACAAAACCUAACAAAGAAUGAAUGAGCCUUUCCAGAAACACCUAGAAGAGACUAACAUUGUCCAUCCAAAAAUAAACUCACCCCAGGGUUCCUGGCUACGCCAGUCAGACGUGUCCAUGAGCUGCGUCUGCCUUGGAGAAUU
rnacentral:lncRNA from 1 species